rnacentral:sRNA from 1 species
GCGUAUAGGAAGGGUUGGAUUACAAGC